GCCAUAAUCAAUCGCAUAGCGUUUGGUCGUGACGUAUGUCAUGCGACGGGACCGGCUCCUUCACCACUAACGGAGCCAGCUGGAAAAUCAAACUUUUCUCGAACCCGAUGGGGAGAAGCAACAUCAUGGCCACCAACAAAACUCAGCAAAGCUUGUUCUUGCUCCGACUUUAAUUGAUCGAUAUUCGGCAGCGAUCCCACAACAGACCGAAUAGCUUCUCUCGUAUCCUGCUCCAUUGUCUUCCAGGUCUUCCUCUGACUACAACUGAAACUGGCGCGCGACCUCGACGUCAUCGUUCUCAGCCACUCCCUCUGUUCGCUGAUUGAACCGCCAAAAAUCUGGCUUCCAAGGAACCCAUGCAUAUGAAGCAGACCCAGACUACAGAAGUGAAAUGAAAAUUGAGCGGAAGUCGGAGAGAAGCCUUUCAUAUGUGAGGCCUGUUGGAAGUGCUUCGCGUCCAAGGAGUACUUGAGGCGCCACUCCAACAUCCACACCGGCUCCAGGACCUACAAGUGUCAGCAGUGUGUGAGAUCUAUGUCUUCCAGGAUGAACACAUCCCAGACACACUUCCCUCUGGUCAACCGGUCUCAUCCAUGAUGCAAGGCCCCAGGGAGCGCCAACAGGGGGCGCCCAUUCCCUUCCUCUGUUCUCCUGGGAUCCCUGUGUUUAUGAUUAAGCAGAGCUGCUGCGGCUCAAGGGGGGGGUCGGCAAU
ensembl:lncRNA